GGUGAGGUAGUUUAUAAAAAUAUUAAAUUGUAAAUUUAAAGUUGGAUCAAGGAAUCUCUUUGCUA
rnacentral:tRNA from 1 species